rnacentral:rRNA from 1 species
AUUGAACGCUGGCGGCAUGCUUUACACAUGCAAGUCGAGCGGCAGCGCGGGGUUCGGGCAACUGAGCUUUGGCGGCGAGCGGCGGACGGGUGAGUAAUGCAUCGGAACGUAUCCCGUAGUGGGGGACAACCCAGCGAAAGCUGGGCUAAUACCGCAUAUGCUCUACGGAGGAAAGCAGGGGACCUGAAAGGGCCUUGUGCUAUGGGAGCGGCCGAUGUCCGAUUAGCUAGCUGGUGGGGUAAAGGCUUACCAAGGCGACGAUCGGUAGCUGGUCUGAGAGGAUGAUCAGCCACACUGGGACUGAGACACGGCCCAGACUCCUACGGGAGGCAGCAGUGGGGAAUUUUGGACAAUGGGGGCAACCCUGAUCCAGCCAUGCCGCGUGCGGGAAGAAGGCCUUCGGGUUGUAAACCGCUUUUGGUCGGGAAGAAAGGGUGUGUCCUAACAGGGCGCAUUUUUGACGGUACCGGCAGAAUAAGCACCGGCUAACUACGUGCCAGCAGCCGCGGUAAUACGUAGGGUGCAAGCGUUAAUCGGAAUUACUGGGCGUAAAGCGUGCGCAGGCGGUAAGUUAAGUCUGAUGUGAAAGCCCCGGGCUCAACCUGGGAAUGGCAUUGGAAACUGGCUUGCUAGAGUGUGGCAGAGGGGGGUGGAAUUCCGCGUGUAGCAGUGAAAUGCGUAGAGAUGCGGAGGAACACCGAUGGCGAAGGCAGCCCCCUGGGCCAACCACUGACGCUCAGGCACGAAA